UACGUAGGAGGCAAGCGUUGUCCGGAAUUACUGGGCGUAAAGCGCGUGUAGGUGGUGGGACAAGUCUGCUGUGAAAGUGCCUGGCUUAACCGGGCGAGGUCGGCGGAAACUGUCCGACUCGAGGACGGUAGAGGGGGGGUGGAAUUCCCGGUGUAGUGGUGAAAUGCGUAGAGAUCGGGAGGAACACCUGUGGCGAAGGCGGCCCCCUGGGCCGGCCCUGACACUGAGACGCGAAGGCGUGGGGAGCGAACGGG
rnacentral:rRNA from 1 species